UUGGCAUAGAUCUGGGCCUGGUGCCAUUUGGGAUUGUGUCCUUUUAAAGAGAGGUCUGGCUCGCUGUGCUUCCUUCCCCAGCAUCCACACAAAGCUCACAUCCAAGUUCCCAGCAUUCCCCUGGGGUGGACCGCGAUAUCCAUGCAUCCUUCCAUGCUGCUGCAGACUGAAUGGGACCUUCGGGGGACCCUAGGCUUCCCAAGAUAGAGAUGAUCCUGCCUAGCGCAUUACCAGCUGGCCGAGUAAACAUCGAGAGACUAUAAGGAUAUUUUAUUUUAAUUGCCUGAGCCUCAGGAUUAUGGAAUCAAGAUGGAAGGGGAGGAUUCUGAAACAGGGUGGCAGUCAGGUGUGGGGGAGGGGCGGUGUGGGCUCCCUAAGACAAGCUGGUGGUCAGACUUCCUAUUGGUCAGGAGCUCUUGACCUUGACCCAGGAGAGACUGAGAAGAAUUUGGAGGAGGCCAAGCUGCUGUCCUGUUGACAAGAGGGCAGGUUCCAAGCCAGUCAAUUAAACACAUUUCUCCUUAAUAAAUGUAGCAACUGGCAUGAAAAUAUGUCUUAUUUUCGAAGAUGCAUGAAUCAGUCAGUUUGGCAAGGGGCCCAAGAGGCAAGAGCAGUCUGAGCUGUCAGCCGUGCAAUGUCCCGAUGGUGGGUUCCAGGUUUAACUCUCUAGGGAACACAGCUUUCCAGAACAGGGCUCCGGAGCCAGCAUCCCCUGGAGCUUAGGAAGUGGACGGAGAGCCAGGGUGCAGGGCUUGGAUGGAGUCACCGACUGGGAGGAGCUACAGAUGGCAGGCACAGUAGACAUGGCAUUAGCUCAGCCGCAUGUGGCCAUACCAGGGCAAUGUCUGCAAGUGUUCCUACGGACCUGACAACCCAUUAGUAGUGUGGUCCCUGGGCUCAGAGGUAAAUGUACCUGGGGUUCUAAGCUUUCUCAUCCACACAGACGGACUUGUGUGCACAGGAACCCGGAAAAACUGUAGAGUGGCUUCCUGAUGGGACACACCCAGGUCUGGUAGGAGCAUCACCUGGAUACAGCCUGCACUGUGAACACUGGGAGUGUGGGGUUGGGCAAGGCUGUCCUUUUACAUGGUGUCAUCAGGUCUCUGCAAAGCAUUGACCGCUCCACACAGUUCUUUGUAUUCUUGUAUGUGUUUAAAGACAAGAUCUCCUGCAACAGUAUGGGAAGGAACCUGCUGCUGGGUCUAAUGACCUGAGCAGCAUCCCUGGGACCAACACAGUGAAAGGACAGAACUGAUUUCCAUAAAUUCCUGGACUCAGUGUUCAUCCUGCUUCGGCCUCCUGGUGCAUGCCAGGAGAGCCGGCUUGAUGUGUAGUCCUCAAAGUGGCUGCCACUGCGGCGGCAGGAGCAGUGCAAGUUCCCCUGAAUUCCCUUUCACCUGCCACCAGGAUUCCCUAGGGAGACCCCCCCCCCCCAGGCUCUCUGCCUGCAAUGUCAUACUUGGGAGGUGGAGGCGAAGGGUCAGGAGUUCAAGGUCAUCUGUGCAAUGCCAGUCUGGAUUACAUGAGAUCCUGUCUCAACACAAAAACCAAACCGAAACAAAUUCAACUAGCUGAAUCUAUCGUAUAUGUGAAUUCCCUACUAUUAACCCACAGUGGGUGUGUGCUUAUAGCAACUCAUUAGGGGUGAAGCAUCUCUCUGUAAGGAAACACCAGCUCAUUAUGGAGGCCAGGCUGAUUCUGGUGGCUCUAAUGAGCUGUGAAAACCACCCAGGAGCUAAACUAGCAGAGGGAGUGUCUUUGCAUGCCUGGAGGAGCAUUUGCUGUCUAAGUUUGGAGCAGAAGGGAGCUAACCAAUGGGGUUAGGGUCUCCAGAGAACACCCAAAGGGAUGAGCACACACAUGUUGGAGAGUUUAAGUCAGCUGAUGUUAAAAUAUCGAAAAGAGCCAAAUGACAUCCAUGAGGCUGAGAGCCAGGUGGCUGGAUGCCUCAGCAUUCCCUAUCUGGCUUGAAAACCUAGCAGGUUCCUGGCGAGCCACUGGUCCUUAGUCCAUGGUGGAAGCAUGGAGACGUGUUUCUUUCUGAUGCUGGUGAGGAAAUCGUCAUCGUCAUCGUCAUUGUCUUCUCCAUCAGCGACAACGACAGGAUAAAUCAACUUGGAGACUCAGCUCUCUGCUGUUUUCCAUGGAUUUCUACCUUCUCAGCCUUCUCUUCUGCCUCUUCCUGCCAGCAGUUGUUGAGCGCAGCCUGGUCCUUAGCUCUCACGGCUCCUUCUCCCUCUGGCCAUCUGCAGGCUGGUGACCAGGACUCCACAUCUCUUGCCUCAAGAUUUGGACUUUUCCACUCAACAUCUUAACUGACCCAAAGGCUGUUUGGUUCCCCCUUGCUCCUGUAGACUUCCUUGAGGGAGCACCCUCCCGCCUCCCUGUCAAUGAACCUAGCACCCAGGACACAAGGACACAAGGUGAACCAUCACCGCUAGAUCCUGCAGACUCACCUAGGGUGCUCCCAGAGGUGCUCUUCUCCGGUUCCCAAGAUCAGUCUUGGUUGCUAGUGGUAGAGAACUCAGAACGAUGCCCGGACAGGAAGAUGGGGUCAAAGGGUUUAAAUUUCUUACUGUGCAAACAAGAAAAAUAAUUUGGAUUUGGAGGUGGUGUCUUUCCUCUUGACAUCAUCUUUUCUUUCUUUGUUUGAAGUGUGUGUGUGUGUGUGUGUGUGUGUGUGUGUGUGUGUGUAGGCCAGAGGUUAACAUCAGGCAUUUCUACCUUAUUUUUGAGAAAGGUCUCUCACUGAGCCCAGAGUUCACUGAUGAUCAACAUCUAAGGAUCCGUCCGUCUUCUCUCACCAUGCCCACCAUUGUUUGGAUUGCAGACAUGUGUGACCAGGCCCUGCCUUUACACGGGUGCUGGGGAUCUUACUGACUUGGAUGGCUGUUCUUGAUGGUCUAUUUGACUACAUCUGGAAUUAACUAAAACCCAAGUGACUGGGUACACCUGUGAGAGAUUUGUUGUUGUUGAUUAAAUCACUUGAAGUGGGAAGAGCCAUUUUUACUCCUGAUCUUUUGAGGUGAGAAGAUCCCUUUAAUUUGGGCCACUCCUGCUGGAAGCCUAUAUAAAAGGCAUGGAAGAGGGAAGCCUGCUUUGCCUGCUUGCUCUCUAUCUUGCUGGCAAGUCUAUUCCUUCACUGGCAUUAGAGUCUACUUAUUUGAGAUUAUGGCAUAUACUGAAGGCCAGCUGAGACAUCCAGCCUCAUGGACUCAACAACUAUUGGAUUCUUGGACUGUCCAUUGGUAGACAGUCAUUGCUGGAUUGCUGGACUAGCUGGACUACCGUGUGUGUGUGUGUGUGUGUGUGUGUGUGUGUGUGUGUGUGUGUGUGUAUUCUCUAUAUAUUCAUUUCAUAAGUUUUGUUCCUCUAGAGAAUUCUGACAUCAUAUACACUGACUGAGCCAAUUGCCCAGUCUGGUUUCUCCUCUUUAUUGUGCCCUUCUGGGCCAAGUCAUGACUUCCCCCCUUCUGACACUCCCUUCCCAUCCCCUAAAAGCCAUGGGCAAUGGAAAAUCACUUCCCAGAUUCCUGUAGGUCCCAGAGAACAAGCUUGGCUUUUAAACUUGAGUUUUGUAAAACAACAAUUCAGUAGGGUUAUUUCUGGACAGGUAAAGGUGAGGGAUUUUUUUGGGGGAGGGUGAGUGUAACAAUAUCAUUUAAUUGGGGCUCAAAUUUAUAUUCCCUAUCACCAAAAUCAAUUCCAAAAUCUAUUACUGUCCAGUCAGGUUAUCUUAGGUAUUUCAUCUUUGAAAUUAUCUUUUCAUAAGUACAUGGCCUUUUCCCAUUUAAGUUUUUUUUCCCCCGAGAUGUAAUUUACAUAACUUAACAUUUACCCCAAAUGCCUGACCAUAGUCUUUUGUAUUUUCAGGAUGCUAUGUGUGUCCCACCACUGUACAGUUCUCAGUACUUUAUCUCUGAAAUGAUUUUUAAAAAAACAUUGCAGCAUUUGGAAGCUCUUCCUCUUUACAGUGGAGUGAUCUUCCGUGUGUGGGCAUUCUGUUUCCCCAUUCCUCAGUUGCUGGGGUCUGGAGCGUUUCCAUCUGUUUGGGGAUGACAAACAAUGCGUAGAUUUCCACAGGGACGUUUUUCAGUUUUCUUUGGGAUGGCUGUGUUCUGGUUGUGGUUUGCCCUCACUAAAAUCCAUUUGAAAACUUGACUGGUG
rnacentral:lncRNA from 1 species